rnacentral:rRNA from 1 species
AGUGAACGCUGGCGGUAGGCCUAACACAUGCAAGUCGAACGGCAGCACAGUAAGAGCUUGCUCUUACGGGUGGCGAGUGGCGGACGGGUGAGGAAUACAUCGGAAUCUACUUUUUCGUGGGGGAUAACGUAGGGAAACUUACGCUAAUACCGCAUACGACCUACGGGUGAAAGCAGGGGAUCUUCGCACCUUGCGCGAUUGAAUGAGCCGAUGUCGGAUUAGCUAGUUGGCGGGGUAAAGGCCCACCAAGGCGACGAUCCGUAGCUGGUCUGAGAGGAUGAUCAGCCACCCUGGAACUGAGACACGGUCCAGACUCCUACGGGAGGCAGCAGUGGGGAAUGUUGGACAAUGGGCGCAAGCCUGAUCCAGCCAUCCCGCGUGGGUGAAGAAGGCCUUCGGGUUGUAAAGCCCUUUUGUUGGGAAAGAAAAGCAGCAGGUUAAUACCCCGCUGUUCUGACGGUACCCAAGGAAUAAGCACCGGCUAACUUCGUG